UUCGGCGCCUCCUCUCGCGCGCCAAAGGUGAGCGGAGCGCGGGCGGAGAAGGGGGCGCUCCCGCCGGGCCUCGCUUGGGGGGUAGGGGCCGGCCUUGGGUCCUCCCCGUCCAGCAACCCACCCCGAGCGAUGCAGGGGAGGGCGCGGGCGGCACGGAUGCCCCUUGGCACUCACUUCGGGGGCUUCAGCUCUCAAGCAUUUGAUGUUUAUUCUACAUGGCUCUUACGUUAAGAGUAUAGACACCGUUUGUUAGCCUAAGUCUCAGGGCACGAGACAUUACCUCCAUUCUGUUGCAGCCUCUCUCGGUUUGGGGGCCUUCCCGGUGACCGGAGAGAGGCCGGACGCACGCAGCGCUUCAUGGCCCGCCACAGCAAGCUCCAGCUGCAAGUCCUGAGCCUGUACCGAAACUUCCUCCGAGCCGCCAAAGACAAGCCGGGCUUCCUGCCCCGGAUACGGGCCGAGUUCCGGAAACAUGCCCAGAUCCCCCGGGCCGAUGUCAUGCGUAUAGAGUACCUCCUCCGGCGUGGACAGAGGCAGCUGGAGCAGCUCAGAGACGUCCACACCAAGCAGAUGGGGGUCUUUGUCAAAACGAAAUCAGAGGAGCAGUGACUCAGAGACAGAACCCUAUUGAAGGGGGAUAUAACAGCUCCUCCCGAUUUUAGAGUUUUUCCAGCCGGCUAAUUUCCGAGAGAUUCUUCAAGGCGAGGGCCUGACUCACUGUGGAUUACCAAAUGCUGCUUUCCUUCGGAGCGGAGGCUGCCACGAAACAGGUGCCAGCCGUCAUCUCUAGAAGACUAAGGAACACGCUCCAGAUUUAACGCUGUUUUUUAAAAACCAGUGGGAUUGCUUAGACUCUCUUGAGGCUGCUUGAGGUGGGUGCUGUAAAUUCUGUUCUGAGAUCCCAUUUAAAGCUGUGGUUUUCAGUAGGAAGAAUGUCGCUGCGUCCAUAUUUGUCUGGAGCUGUAGAGGUUUCCGAAGGGCCAGGUACAGUUCCUGUGAACCUGAGAGCACACAGUUGCCAACACGUUGUGUUUGAAGGCAAAGUUCUUUGAAAAGUGGAAGCUGUUAAUUUGCUGUCAGUGGGAGAGAAAAUGGCAGAGCGAGGAACAGGAAGAAGCAGCAGUCCUGUUUAAACCACAGCCCUCUUUUGCACACUCGUCUGUGUGCAAAAACUCUUUGCGGUUUGAACAAUCCAGGGGAGCAUCACUUUACACAGUCCAUGUUUGUUGGUGUGAAUGUAUCUUGGAAUAAAGGGAUCUUUUCAUUGUAA